CAGCAGCCGCGGGAAUACAGAGGGUGCGAGCGUUAAUCGGAUUUACUGGGCGUAAAGCGUGCGUAGGCGGCUUCUUAAGUCGGAUGUGAAAUCCCUGAGCUUAACUUAGGAAUUGCAUUCGAUACUGGGAAGCUAGAGUAUGGGAGAGGAUGGAAGAAUUCCAGGUGUAGCGGUGAAAUGCGUAGAGAUCUGGAGGAAUACCGAUGGCGAAGGCAAUCCCCUGGGCCUGUACUGACGCUCAUGCACGAAAGCGUGGGGAGCAAACAGGAUUAGAUACCCCAGUAGUCCCUGUCUCUUAUAA
rnacentral:rRNA from 1 species